rnacentral:misc_RNA from 1 species
GAUGAAGAACGUAGCGAAAUGCGAUAAGUAAUGUGAAUUGCAGAGUUCAGUGAAUCAUCGAAUCUUUGAACGCACAUUGCGCCCCUUGGUAUUCCAUGGGGCAUGCCUGUUCGAGCGUCAUUUGUACCUUCAAGCUCUGCUUGGUGUUGGGUGUUUGUCUCGCCUCUGCGUGUAGACUCGCCUCAAAACAAUUGGCAGCCGGCGUAUUGAUUUCGGAGCGCAGUACAUCUCGCGCUUUGCACUCAUAACGACGACGUCCAAAAGUACAUUUUUACACUCUUGACCUCGGAUCAGGUAGGGAUACCCGCUGAACUUAAGCAUAUCAAUAAGCGGAGGA